rnacentral:lncRNA from 1 species
AACUCUCCCGACUCUGCCUUAUCAUUGGAGACCAAGGGGGCAGUGAUUUUGUGCUCUAUUCUUUUCACUUGUCUUCUUCUUCCCUCAUCAAACGCUGCUCUCAGAAAGCAAUCUGAUAUAGGUUAUUUUGUUUCCUUUCUGCUUGUUUGCAUCCCUCUUAGUGUGAAUUUCACUAUGAGCAUCAGGAGGAUGGAAGUAGAAAGUAGAAGCAAACUUAAGUCAUAUGCUAAGACAGCAAGAAUCACAUGCCAAAACAUCAUCAAUGAAACAAAACCAGAACAGGGGCUGCACUACAGUCAGGGCAAGAAGCAUUCAUUUGGGGAAGAGGCAUACACAAAAAUGAUUCACAGGCAAAUCCAAGAUCAAAGUAUCUCUUCAUGCCAUGAGUCAAGAAGACACUCUUUUCAUCACUGUUCCCAUGUGUGGUGGUAUAUCACAGAGAGGAAGUGGUUCCAUCCAGAGGGAAAGUCUGAUGGAAGGAAGUAACAGAGAAUCCAGAAAUUCAUCUUCCGUCAUGACUGAAUAUACACACACA